rnacentral:rRNA from 1 species
UAAUACGUAGGUGGCAAGCGUUGUCCGGAAUUAUUGGGCGUAAAGCGCUCGCAGGCGGUCUUUUAAGUCUGAUGUGAAAUCUCGUGGCUUAACCACGAACGGUCAUUGGAAACUGGAGGACUUGAGUACAGAAGAGGAGAGUGGAAUUCCACGUGUAGCGGUGAAAUGCGUAGAGAUGUGGAGGAACACCAGUGGCGAAGGCGACUCUCUGGUCUGUAACUGACGCUGAGGAGCGAAAGCGUGGGGAGCGAACAGGAUUAGAUACCCUGGUAGUCCACGCCGUAAACGAUGAGUGCUAGGUGUUAGGGGGUUUCCGCCCCUUAGUGCUGAAGUUAACGCAUUAAGCACUCCGCCUGGGGAGUACGGCCGCAAGGCUG